GCCAGUGUGGCGUAGUGGUUUGAGUGCUGGACUAUUGACUCUGAAGACCAGGGUUUGAUUCCCAACAUGGGCA
rnacentral:tRNA from 1 species